rnacentral:rRNA from 1 species
GACGAACGCUGGCGGCGUGCUUAACACAUGCAAGUCGAACGAAGCUUGAUUACGGAUUCUUCGGAUGAAGUAUGAUAUGACUGAGUGGCGGACGGGUGAGUAACGCGUGAGUAACCUGCCCUUCAGAGGGGGAUAGCGUUUGGAAACGAACGGUAAUACCGCAUAAUGUAUUUUGACCGCAUGUUCGAAAUACCAAAGAUUUAUCGCUGAAGGAUGGACUCGCGUCUGAUUAGGUAGUUGGUGGGGUAACGGCCUACUAAGCCGACGAUCAGUAGCCGGACUGAGAGGUUGAUCGGCCACAUUGGGACUGAGACACGGCCCAGACUCCUACGGGAGGCAGCAGUGGGGAAUAUUGCACAAUGGGCGCAAGCCUGAUGCAGCAACGCCGCGUGAAGGAAGACGGUUUUCGGAUUGUAAACUUCUGUUCUUAGUGAAGAAUAAUGACGGUAGCUAAGGAGCAAGCCACGGCUAACUACGUG